CUACGGGAGGCAGCAGUGAGGAAUAUUGCGCAAUGGGGGAAACCCUGACGCAGCAACGCCGCGUGGGUGAAGAAGGCCUUCGGGUCGUAAAGCCCUUUCGGACGGGACGAACGUCAUGCGGGGAAACUCGUGUGGCUUGACGGUACCGUAAGAAGAAGCACCGGCUAACCCCGUGCCAGCAGCCGCGGUAAUACGGGGGGUGCAAGCGUUGUUCGGAAUUACUGGGCGUAAAGCGCGUGUAGGCGGCCCUGCAAGUCAGAUGUGAAAGCCCUCGGCUUAACCGGGGAAGUGCAUCUGAAACUGCUUGGCUUGAGUACUGGAGAGGAAGGCGGAAUUACCAGUGUAGAGGUGAAAUUCGUAGAUAUUGGGAGGAACGCCGGUGGCGAAAGCGGCCUUCUGGACAGAUACUGACGCUGAGACGCGAAAGCGUGGGGAGCAAACAGGAUUAGAUACCCUAGUA
rnacentral:rRNA from 1 species